ensembl:lncRNA
AGCUCCGAGAGGGCGGGGCCGUAGCCCGGUAAGGGGCGGGGUCACAGCGAGACGGGCGGUGGGGCGGAGCCGAGGCCCAGGAACGGAGGUGGAGGAGCAGACCCGGGCGACGCGGCCCGCGAGCGAGAGGGUCGUCCGGGUCAGUCCAGCGCAACUCGGGUCACCAGUCCCAGGGCCCUGGUCCCCUUAUUGGAUCUAUGUCUGGGUUUGCUGAAGCACCCGCUGGGCCCAGGACUGCAGAGACGCCCCUACCCAGGCUGUGCCCCGGGUGGAGGGGGACAGGGGGAACGGCUUCAUCGCGGGGUUCGGGGCAGGACAGCUCAGGACCUGCGGAGAUACUGGAUGGUGUAGGAUCCCAGGCCAAAGGUGGCGCACCCUGAGAUCAGGUCAGACUUUUUCCUCCCUGCGCCCCACCCAUCCCCAGCUUCUUGUGGACCCCGGAGCCGUCUGUUCUGGGAGUUCUUCCAAACCCACUCUCUGUGCUGUAUGUGGGGGCAGCGGUCACCUCAGCUUCCUUGGGACUGACCGGAGCCUCCCCCUCAGCAGCCCAGCUCCCUGCAGCCUUGAGGAGGGCGCUGCCUGCGUCUUUGGGAGCCUCAGCUUCCCCUCCGGUUCCGGGCCUUGGAGUGCUGGUCUGCAGCUGCGGCCUGGCUCUGUGCCCGGCCUGACCCUCGUUCACACUGCACACCCCUGGAGGCAGGACAGAAAGUGUGCACAGCGAAGACCCUGACACCCUACUGGUUGAUGAUCCAAAUCCCGAGGUCCCUCUCAGAGUCCGGUGAGAUCCAGAGCCAGCUAGAGGAAGAAAGUGGCCGCGUCAGCUCCUGAAAGGCCGUCUGGGUGAGGUUGAAAGGAAAAGCCAACAGGAGUUCCCAUCGUGGGGCUUCGGAAACAAUCUGACCAGGAACCAUGAGGUUGCGGUUUCCAUCCCUGGCCUGGCUCAGUGGAUUAAGGAUCCGGUGUCUCUGUGGCUAUGGUGUAGGCCGGCAGCCGUAGCUCCCAUUCGACCAGUAGGCUCUCGGGUCCACCUCCUCUCCCCGUGGUCCUGUGCUGCCUCUUCCUACCCUGCUCCUCAGCAGCUCAGUGCAACUCUCCUGUCCCCCGCAUCCUCCCUGGUCGCACGCAGAGAGCAUCUGUGCAAAGACAACAGACGCGGCCACCCAGACCCUUUAGCUCACAGAGGAUGCCCUGAACGGACUCCCAGGGAGCCUACAGAAGACCACGGACUUGAGAAGGCACUGUGAACUGCUUGGUAGCAUCUGCAAGAUGGGGUUUGGUUUCAGGUCUGUGUCCUGCCCGCCACCCUCAGGCCCCGGUGGGCUCAGGAGGGCCUUGGGCACAGCCCGAGGGGCCUCGACCCUCAUACAGUGCAGAGCAAAGUCAGAGAUGGGUGGAGGCAGCUGCUGCUCCGGGUGGGAGCUGAUGACAUCCCGCCUGUCGUGUAGACAUUUGAGUUAACUGGCCCUGGGGUUGCCAAUAAUCUCAGUCAGGUCGAAGCCUCCACUCGGAGACGUUUGGGGCAGAAACCUGCUGAUUUACCCCUUGUUUUAACUCUUGGGGAACAAGGGGAUUGCUGACCGCUCCCACUGGCAGGGAGCAGGGAGUGGAAAGAGAACAGCCCUCGAGGGAGAGGCCAAGGAGCCCGUCUGCUCUGGCUCUGCACCGUCCAGCACAGUGGCCUCAGCCUGUCCCAACUGCGAUGUGCGAAUGUGCACAAGAAACACCUGAUUUCAAAGACGUUGAAAAAAAUGCCAAAUAUCUUUCUAAUAAUUUUAUAUUGAUUGCCUCUGGAAAUUAUGUUUUAGAUGUGUUAAGGUAAAUAAAAUAUAUUAUUAAAU